UAACUGGAAGGAUUCACUUUGUUCUGACAGACUAUAAAAACCAACUUACAACUGAUAAUCUAACAUACUUUAUCUGUUGUGUGUUUUCUGUUUAAAUUCAGAGAAUUUUGGAAUUUUGCUGCAAUUGGCCUGUGCAGAGAGGAGAGAUGUGGGGAUGUCAGGAGAAGGAUGCUGAGGAUGGAGGCAGGGGUGCCGAAAAGGGGAGAAUAAGACGAAGGAUUCUAGGGGCCCAUUAAAGCCCCAAAUACAAUUAUAAUACUGACAAAAAAAUAUGGGGUGUGGCCCAGUAAGAUUUCUUUUCAUGGGGCCCAAAAUUCCUGGUGGCGCCCCUGGAUGGAGGUGCUAGUUAAUGUCAAAGAGAAGGUUUAUGGAUUCACUGAGGGAGAAGACAAGGUGAGAUGGAGAAGGAUGAUUUAAGAGCAAACAAAAGAAGAAUUUAAUUAAAAAUGCAGAACGACCCAUCUGGUGUCCCAGAUUGCGCUGCACUGGAAUCAAU